rnacentral:tRNA from 1 species
CAGUAUGUAGUUUAUAUAAAAAUUUGGUGUUUGGGACACUAGGAAUAUUUGCUGA